rnacentral:snRNA from 8 species
AUACUUACCUGGCAAGAGAGACACCGUGAUCAAGAAGGCGGUUCACCCAGGGCGAGGCUCAGCCAUUGCACUCCGGCUGUGCUGAACCCUGCGAAUUUCCCAAAUGUGGAAAUCUCGAUUGCAUAAUUUCUGGUAGUGGGGACUGCGUUCGCGCUCUCCCCU